rnacentral:piRNA from 1 species
CUCAGUUGGUAGAGCGGAGGACUGUAGU